UCUGGAAAAUAAAUUUACUAUAUUGACUGAAAUACCACUCUUUGUGUAGGUAUUUGUCAUAUAUUUAAGAAAAAGCUAAAAAGAAUGGAAAUUGUAUGACAAUAACUCAAGUCUUUCUCCAAAGUGCAUGCAGUCUUUUGCGAUACCUCAUUCAGCCGAGUAUUUGUGCUCUUCCUCAUUCAGUAUAAGGCAGCUUUCAGUUUGCUUAGAAGGCAACAUUGGAAUGUUAGAGUUCAUCAGAAACAUAGAAUUUUAAACUGUGAGUUCCACUGAAUACAUUUUAAUUUCUGUAGGAAGAAUCAAAACACCUAUUUAAAGAUGGCAAUAUAUAAUAAUCAUUUUAAAAGUAUUUGAUUAAACCUGAUAAUUUUCCAGAAAUGAAAAAAAAAAUCAGCUCUAAAACCAAAGCUGAUUUUAGAAAAUUUGAAAAUGUAAAUCAGCCCUAUCCAUAAUAUAGUUUCUCUAAAACUUUAUUUUAAAGAGUCAUUUUAAAAUAAUAUAACUAUUAAAAAAUGUAACUGCUAUCUUAAUGUUCUGAAAUAAUUUAAAACAUUUUAAAAUAUGAAUACUGUAGUAUAAAAGAAAGAAAUGGUGGGAACGAAAAGCAGAGAAAGAAAUGCCAAUUCCAGUCCAAAGUUUUAUUUGCCAAGUUUUCUUAGAAUGAAUUUUACCAGUUUAUGAAUUAUUGUAAACAGAAUGUGUCAUGGAAAUACUGAAAGAUUUUUCCCUAGAGUGGCCUUAUUGACUGCUGGUGUGAUGCCACUGUAAUGUAAUAAAUUAUUAAAUUGUUUC
ensembl:lncRNA novel transcript